AGGGUUUUAAGUUAAAUAAACUAUAAGCCUUCAAAGCUUACUAUAAGGAAAAGAAAUCCUUAUUCCCUG
rnacentral:tRNA from 1 species